rnacentral:rRNA from 1 species
GACGAACGCUGGCGGCGUGCUUAACACAUGCAAGUCGAACGGAAAGGCCCUGCUUUUGUGGGGUGCUCGAGUGGCGAACGGGUGAGUAACACGUGAGUAACCUGCCCUUGACUUUGGGAUAACUUCAGGAAACUGGGGCUAAUACCGGAUAGGAGCUCCUGCUGCAUGGUGGGGGUUGGAAAGUUUCGGCGGUUGGGGAUGGACUCGCGGCUUAUCAGCUUGUUGGUGGGGUAGUGGCUUACCAAGGCUUUGACGGGUAGCCGGCCUGAGAGGGUGACCGGCCACAUUGGGACUGAGAUACGGCCCAGACUCCUACGGGAGGCAGCAGUGGGGAAUAUUGCACAAUGGGCGGAAGCAUGAUGAAGCAACGCCGCGUGCGGGAUGACGGCCUUCGGGUUGUAAACCGCUUUCGCCUGUGACGAAGCGUGAGUGACGGUAAUGGGUAAAGAAGCACCGGCUAACUACGUG